GCUGGGUGCAGUGGCGCACACCUGUAAUUCCAGCAACUCAGGAGGCUGAGGCAGGAGGAUCCCAAAUUCAAGGCCAGCCUUGUCAACUUAGCAAAACUCUGUCUCAA
rnacentral:sRNA from 1 species